GCUCGCAGUCGUAUGCCUCCGCCAACCACUCAGGUUGCAGUUCACAUCCAUUUCUGUCCAAAAAUGUCAUCACUUCAUCAUUUUAUCCUAUCAGACAUUUGUGUGAAAUUGUCAUAAUUAGCAUAUGAAUUCUUGAGUUACAGCCAAAGAUGAGUUU